rnacentral:lncRNA from 1 species
AGAGACCAAAGCUUCUAUCCUCGUACCUAACUAUACCGGUGUACCACCACCUCUUUAGCCGCCAUAGAUCCGUCGUCUACCACCCCUCAACCACCGUAACGCCGCCGCCAGAAAUCGCCCCACGGUGGCGGCCGGCCACCAAAUGGCCUCAGAUUUACACCACUAGACCUUCUCAACCUCCUCUUUCCUCUCCUACCAUUUAGCUCCCCUCAAAUACCUCCCCAACUCGUCAAAUAUUCGACAGAAAAGUCGCUGGCUCCGCCGUCUUCGGUGACACCAACCCCAAACUGACCCAAAAUAACACCCCCUGAACCGCCUCUUUCCCCUCUUCCCAACCAUCUAGGUCUCAUCCCUCAAAUCCUAACAGACCUCUUCGAAUAUCAAAUCGAAGAUUGGUCCCAAACCGUUAACUCACCGGAACCCCCUCAAACUGGUCCCUGGUGACCGUCUCACGUUCCCAUCCACAAUCCUGCAACCCACGACCCUCGAAUGCAACUAGACACGACCAAAAAAUCGAAUCUGAAACCCUUCCCUGUCUCAAAACCAAUCGACCCUCGCCUGGAACCCUUUCCCCAUCUCCAAUAGUAAGUCAAAGGCCUCAGAAGGCCAAAUAACCUCUUAAAAAAGGUCAAAAGACAUGGAGAUUUGAAGAGUCCCAAUUUUAGGGUUACAAGGAAAAGAAAAGCUAAGUUCCUUUGUUUUGAUUGCUUUUAGUGCUGAAAUUUCGUGUGUUUUCUGUUCUAACUGCUUUUGUUUUCUUUGAUUUUCAUUUGUUGACGUUCAUUUGUUUCCUAUCUGUUCACCUUCGAAAUGUUCUGAGUAAUCAUAUGCUCAUCCUUGUCUUCUUUUGCUUUCGAUCUUCUUUAUUGUUAUUUGUUUAAGUAUAUUAUAUUUUUCUAUCUGUUCAUCGUUUAAAAUUCUGAGUAGGUGUUUCCAUUUAAAGUCAUAUGCUUGUCCUUUUCUAAGUUGCUUUUGAUCUCUUUUAUUUAUUUUAAGUUUUCAUCUGCUCAUCUUUGGAAUAUUCUGAGUAUUUGUUUCUUUGCUUGUCUUUGUGACCUGCUUCUGAAUAAUCUGUUUAACAUUUGAAGUCAUAGCCUGUUCUUGUUGACAUGUUUGAAUUAUCGUAUUGAGCCAAGAAUUGGUCAUAUUGGGUUUGAAAUUGCUUAGUUGUUGUUUAGCUAUGCAUAUGUUUAUGAGAAAUUCAGUUUCAUAAUGUGAUAUUUUCCUGAAUGUGUGUGUUGCAUUGAUUAAAUUCUGACCCUUAGUCGUUUGUUUUGCAUAAUAUAGUAUAAAUCUGCAAUUAAAAAAUUAGCCAUGACUACAUUUUCAGAAUUUGAUCCUAGUUGAUAAUAAUCUUGAUUUAUGAAUUGAAGUAGUUAACUAGGGUCAGUUUCUGACAAAAUCGAUAGGAACCAGGGUUUAAAACACUUAGGCCAGUAAUUAGGAAAAGAGGACAGGGGUAUUAAGGGCAUUUGAACAUAGGGAAUAUUGUAACAAACUCCUGGAACAUUCUAGUGAUGGUUCAAAGUGUAAUUUCCGUUAAUUCUGCCCCAAAACUUGAGACACAAGUUAGAAAAUCAAGGAUCAUUUAGGCAAAACUGAAAAAUGGAUAAAGCACUAAAAGGAAAAAUAAAAAGAUUUAUGUUGCCCUAAGGCUUUAGUUAUAAAAGGAACAUCUGAUCAUUUUCAAGGGAGGAUUUUUCUGGACUUUUUCGAGAGCUAGAGGAUAAUUUUUCAGAUAUAGAGAUACACAUUGAGAUACACUUUUAUUAAUAUUCAGUUGAAAUCUAUUUCAAGUUUUUUUCUUCUGGCCGAGUCUUCUCUAAUAAUCUAAGUGUUGCUCAUUCUAAAUCGAAGAUGGAUUGAUCGCAUGUGCAUUUUGAGCUAUUAGGGAGACUUGUUUUCAUUAUUUGCCUCUCAAAACAUCCUAAGUUCCUGGGUUUACUGGUUAUUUUGGCUGUUGUUGCUUGUCUGCCUUACAUUUGCUUUACUCAUAGGAUUUCUCUGUUGUAAUUCCAGGUAUCAUUCUCACUCAUAAUCUGAAAAGUCUAGCUGUACAUGUUCAAGAUCAAUAUUGAUAAUGAAGAUAGUCCCAUUUUUAUGUAUCGAUGUUAUAUUAUAAAUGUUUUAGUUUCAGUAGCAUUUCCGGUAUUAUAAUGUGUAUAAACUGGAAAUAAUGCUGGACUGUAUUUGGACUAUAGCUUUAAUUUGAUUAAAAUUUCAGUAGGAU